rnacentral:rRNA from 1 species
AGCGAACGCUGGCGGCAGGCCUAACACAUGCAAGUCGAACGAACCUUUCGGGGUUAGUGGCGGACGGGUGAGUAACACGUGGGAACGUGCCUUUAGGUUCGGAAUAACUCAGGGAAACUUGUGCUAAUACCGAAUGUGCCCUUCGGGGGAAAGAUUAAUCGCCUUUAGAGCGGCCCGCGUCUGAUUAGCUAGUUGGUUGAGGUAAUGGCUCACCAAGGCGACGAUCAGUAGCUGGUCUGAGAGGAUGAUCAGCCACAUUGGGACUGAGACACGGCCCAAACUCCUACGGGAGGCAGCAGUGGGGAAUCUUGCGCAAUGGGCGAAAGCCUGACGCACCCAUGCCGCGUGAAUGAUGAAGGUCUUAGGAUUGUAAAAUUCUUUCACCGGGGACGAUAAUGACGGUACCCGGAGAAGAAGCCCCGGCUAACUUCGU